rnacentral:rRNA from 1 species
AGAGACAGCAGUAGCCGCGGUAAUACGAGGGGGGCAAGCGUUGUUCGGAAUUAUUGGGCGUAAAGGGUGCGUAGGCGGCCAGGCAAGUCUUGUGUGAAAUCGAUGGGCUCAACCCAUCGUCCGCACAGGAAACUGCAGGGCUUGAGGAUGGGAGAGGUGAGUGGAAUUUCCGGUGUAGCGGUGAAAUGCGUAGAUAUCGGAAGGAACACCUGUGGCGAAAGCGGCUCACUGGACCAUUACUGACGCUGAUGCACGAAAGCUAGGGGAGCAAACAGGAUUAGAUACCCCCGUAGUCCCUGUCUCUUAUAC